UACGGGGGGGGCAAGCGUUGUUCGGAAUUACUGGGCGUAAAGCGUGCGCAGGCGGUUUCUUAAGUCAGAUGUGAAAGCCCCGGGCUUAACCUGGGAACUGCGUUUGAAACUGGGAGACUAGAGUGUGGCAGAGGGGGGUGGAAUUCCACGUGUAGCAGUGAAAUGCGUAGAUAUGUGGAGGAACACCGAUGGCGAAGGCAGCCCCCUGGGUUAACACUGACGCUCAUGCACGAAAGCGUGGGGAGCAAACAGG
rnacentral:rRNA from 1 species